UUUAAAUGUAAGUAAAAAUAUUAUUGGAGUAGUAAGAGUUAAGUUCUUGAAACUUAAAAAAUUUGGCGGUAUUUUAUUCUUUUUAGAGGAACUUGUUUUAUAAUCGAUAAUCCUCGUUAUAUCUUACUUAGAAUCGUUUAAUUUGUAUAUCAUUGUCAUAAGAAAAUCUUGAAAAAGUAAUAAUUUUCUAAUAUAAUAAUUAUUUUUUAUGUCAGAUCAAGGUGCAGUUUAUAUUUAAGUAAAAAUGAGUUACAAUUAAAAUUAUUAAAAAUGAAUUAAAAUAUUAAAUUAUUUUAUGAAAGUGGAUUUAAAAGUAAAUUUUAAUAUAAAGU
rnacentral:rRNA from 1 species